CGCGAAGAACCUUACCAGGUCUUGACAUCUAGUGCCAUCCUAAGAGAUUAGGAGUUCCCUUCGGGGACGCUGAGACAGGUGGUGCAUGGCUGUCGUCAGCUCGUGUCGUGAGAUGUUGGGUUAAGUCCCGCAACGAGCGCAACCCUUAUUAUUAGUUGCCAGCAUUAAGUUGGGCACUCUAAUGAGACUGCCGGUGACAAACCGGAGGAAGG
rnacentral:rRNA from 1 species